GCUGGCGGCAGGCCUAACACAUUCUAGUCGAACGGAGUUAUAUUGUAGCUUGCUAUGGUAUAACUUAGUGGCAGACGGGUGAGUAAUGUAUAGGAAUCNACCNANUAGUACGGAAUAAUUGUUGGAAACGGCAACUAAUACCGUAUACGCCCUACGGGGGAAAAAUUUAUUGCUAUUAGAUGAGCCUAUAUUAGAUUAGCUAGUUGGUGGAGUAAUAGCCUACCAAGGCAAUGAUCUAUAGCUGAUCUGAGAGGAUGAUCAGCCACACUGGAACUGAGAUACGGUCCAGACUCCUACGGGAGGCAGCAGUGGGGAAUAUUGGACAAUGGGCGAAAGCCUGAUCCAGCCAUGCCGCAUGAGUGAAGAAGGCCUUUGGGUUGUAAAGCUCUUUUAGUGAGGAAGAUAAUGACGGUACUCACAGAAGAAGUCCUGGCUAACUCCGUGCCAGCAGCCGCGGUAAUACGGAGAGGGCUAGCGUUAUUCGGAAUUAUUGGGCGUAAAGGGCGCGUAGGCGGAUUAGUAAGUUAAAAGUGAAAUCCCAAGGCUCAACCUUGGAAUUGCUUUUAAAACUGCUAAUCUAGAGAUUGAAAGAGGAUAGAGGAAUUCCUAGUGUAGAGGUGAAAUUCGUAAAUAUUAGGAGGAACACCAGUGGCGAAGGCGUCUAUCUGGUUCAUAUCUGACGCUGAUGCGCCAAGGCGUGGGGAGC
rnacentral:rRNA from 1 species